GACAGAGGUGCCGAGCGUUAGGCGGAAUCACUGGGCUUAAAGCGUGUGUAGGCGGAUGGGUAAGUACCUUGUGAAAUCCCACGGCUCAACCGUGGAACUGCUCGGUAUACUGCUCGUCUUGAGCCAACUAGGGGCGACCGGAACAAACGGUGGAGCGGUGAAAUGCGUAGAUAUCGUUUGGAACGCCGAUGGUGAAAACAGGUCGCUGGGGUUGUGCUGACGCCGAGACACGAAAGCCAGGGGAGCGAACGGG
rnacentral:rRNA from 1 species